AUUGAUUUCAUGUCUUAUUGCUCCUCAUGAUUCUGUGGGUUGACUGGGCAGUUUUUCUACUCUGGACCAAAGUGACAGGGGCUGGAUGAUUUAACAUGGCCUCACUCACAUAUCUGGGGCUUCAGUUAGGACAGCUGCAUGUCUUUUCCCACAUGGAAAUAUAUCUUUCAGAAGGCCCACUGGGAUUCUUCACCCAAUGAUCCCCAUGAUCCCAGCAGCAAGCAAAGACAAAUCACUAGGUGGAAGCUCUUCAUCAGGCUCUGCUUGUAUCACAUUUGCUAGGAUACUACAGGGUAUAUAGGCAAAGCUAAAUGUGAGGGGGCAGACAAAGAGACUACACUUUGAUGGGAAAAGCUGCAGAUGGGAACAUAUUUUGAAUAUACUAUGCAACUAAAGUAGAAGUUUCUAAUGCCUGAAUUGUAUAAACUGUCAAGAUAAAGUCAUACAUACAUUGAAUUAACAGCGAUUUUAUUAAGAAAUAUCUUAAGCCUUAUCUUAAUAUUAACUUUUCCUUUGUUACAGGUUCAGUCACCAUCUAUAACAAUAAGCUUUCAGAAAUGGCUGACCUAGAAAAUCUCAGCAAGCUGACUGGAGUUUGUCCACAAUCCAAUGUGCAAUUUGACUUCCUCACUGUAAGAGAAAACCUCAGACUCUUUGCUAAAAUAAAAGGGAUUCUGCCACAAGAAGUGGAUAAAGAGAUACAAAGGGUUCUGCUGGAAUUGGAAAUGAAAAAUAUUCAGGAUGUUCUUGCUCAAAACUUAAGUGGUGGACAGAAAAGAAAGCUAACCUUUGGGAUUGCCAUUUUAGGAGAUCCUCAGAUUUUCCUGUUGGAUGAACCAACUGCUGGAUUGGAUCCCUUUUCAAGACACCAAGUAUGGAACCUUCUGAAAGAACGCAAAACAGACCGCGUGAUCCUCUUCAGUACC
rnacentral:sRNA from 1 species